CUGGCCAUAUCAAUGCACGCUCCAACUCUGGUCUCUACUUACAGUCUACUCAGUACCCUUGUCAACGAUCUGGACUGCCAUAUAUCCAUCCGCUCGAUCCAAUUCAUCAGUCUUUUUCGCGGUCUCAUCAGCAGCAGCCUGACUCGAGUUUUGGACUAGCCCGGCCCCGAUGAGGGGCAUGGGCCAUGCCUGCACCCUGGCAGGAUAUUAUUGGGCUUGGUUUGAUUGUGGCUACUAGGGUGGCAUAUUCGGCCCAACUGACUUGGGGUGCAGGCAUAAGAAACUGGGAUUUGCUGGAUGGUGGUUCUUCGUGAUCUUGCAUUCUGUAUUGCUCGUCCAUUCAGCUAGUCUCAGUUAUAGCUCUGUUGCUUGUCAGAGCUUGUUGGCAGUGGCAUUGCAAAAGAUUAAAUGAGUUCCCUAGAGCUCUGCUUUGCGACUGCAUAUGAUGAUGAAAAUCAACCGAGGACGAGGGAAAAAUCAGAGCCUGUAGACUCGUGUUCCUGUAUUUGGCACAGCACCAGUGUAUAUGGCGAAGUGAUUUCCUGUGGAGAAUGUGCUGAAAAGUGAGCUGCCAUUUGUUUAGCCCUUGUCAAUUGGUGCUUGGCUAACUAUGACUUAAUUUAGAGCUCUGAUAAAAUUUGUCUGGUGUUUACAAAGUGUUUGAUUUAGUAACACAAUGAACCUCUUCUCUAUGAACAGGCUAUGGUGGUUGAAUCUAUGAACUCGCUGUCAUUGAAGCAAUGGUUAUGCGUAGAGGAUCCAAAUUCUUAACCGUUAUUGAUACACACAUAUGUAACUUAUUAAUAGUUUAGUCACACUACACACGUUGCAAGCUCAGCUUGGUCCUUGGAUGCAAGUUGCUUACUCGAGAGGUUUUGGUGAAAUGACACUGUGUUUCGGAGGAAUUUAGGCUGGAUGCACAUCUCAAACUGUUGGCUUUACCCCAGUUAUCUGGAAGGCUUGUGGAUGAAGUAUGUGGCAUUACCCCAUCUCUUGAUAGAGGCUGCAGUUCUCAUCUUCAGAUUAUUGAAAUUAAGGCAGGUGAGUCGGCAGAGUACGCAAGUUGAAUAACGCGUUCCGGAGUGUGAGCUAAAUAAUGAUUCAUUGUUUCUUUGUUGGGGCAAAGCCGAACAAUUUUGGAAGAAAUUUAUAGCGUAGAAAAUACAUGAAUGGGAGGUGGGGGUGGAUCCUGCAACACUGGUUGCUUUUAGACACGCACAUAGAAUACGCAGAGAUGCAGUGGCACAUCCGUAUACAAAGGGGUAAAAAGAGUUA